rnacentral:rRNA from 1 species
AGCGAACGCUGGCGGCAGGCCUAACACAUGCAAGUCGAACGAACUCUUCGGAGUUAGUGGCGGACGGGUGAGUAACACGUGGGAACGUGCCUUUUGGUUCGGAAUAACUCAGGGAAACUUGUGCUAAUACCGAAUGUGCCCUUCGGGUGAAAGAUUUAUCGCCAUUAGAGCGGCCCGCGUCUGAUUAGCUAGUUGGUGAGGUAACGGCUCACCAAGGCGACGAUCAGUAGCUGGUCUGAGAGGAUGACCAGCCACACUGGGACUGAGACACGGCCCAGACUCCUACGGGAGGCAGCAGUGGGGAAUCUUGCGCAAUGGGCGAAAGCCUGACGCAGCCAUGCCGCGUGAAUGAUGAAGGUCUUAGGAUUGUAAAAUUCUUUCACCGGGGACGAUAAUGACGGUACCCGGAGAAGAAGCCCCGGCUAACUUCGUG